UUUUUUUUCAAAAAGAUAACUGGCAAUUGGUAAGACUGUAAGAAAAGAGGCUUGUCAACUGCUAAUGCCAGGAAUCCAGGAAUGUGCAGCAUGGAUGCCCAAGUCUGAGUGGAGGUUGCAUCAGUUUCAAAGACAUUGUGCUCUUCCCUGCCGUGGUGGAGUGGUGAGCCGGUUGACAUCCCGGAAAAGGUUGUUAGGGAGUGGAGAUAUGGCAUGCCUGGAAUAAAACAGGCACUCAAUAAGUGAUGGCUGUGAAUGACGAUGAUGAUGAUAAUGAUGAUGAUGACGAUGAGAGGGAUAUUGACAAACCAAUUCUUGCUAAAGUAUAACAGUAUUCAGCAACAUUUUGUCUCCCGGAGCCAUUUGUGUUUAAAAGGAGAAUUGCAAAGACAAGAUAUGCAGAACUCAAAGGAAUAAAUGUUGAAUGGUGUCAUUCGAGGCCCUGGCAUUUAAGGAUUUCAGGGCUGGCUCUAAAGCCCUCAAAACUUGAUACAUAGUCAUCUAUAAACUCUGACUGGAUAUAAACUCAACGCAGAUUUUAUAAUCUUGGCAUCAGUCACCAAAAUAGUCAGGCUUGUUCUUCAUUCCCCAGAGCAUAAACCCCUGGGAAGGACCUCUCUUCCCACCCUUACAGGCGGACAAGAUUCACCUCUCUCCAAAGGACAUAGUGCAGGAAGCUAACUCUCCUCUACUGACCCAGGCACUUCCUCACUUUUGCCUACAUAAAAGGAAGGGGAGGAUAGGGGUGAGGGUAAUUACAUCUGAUGCCUUUUAAGGGACAUCAAGGCUACUGAUUUCAAACCUCUGGACUGGAUAUUCCUGUGGCUUUUACUACAUAUUAAAGAUGAAAGAGAAAUGGACUCAGCACCAUUCCACAUUAAUUAUCUGUGGCCUUUUGGCUCCCAGCACAGUGUCAGAAGUUUAGAGAGCCUCAAACUAUAUUCUGCUGAUUUUAAAAAGAAAAAUAUAGCAAGUGGGAUAAUAGUAUUUGUCAGUUUCAUUUACAGCUCUUUUAGCUUGGCUGAAUUAAUGAGUAUCUAUUAGGCAGACUUGCAAGGAUCCCUUUACACGUUCUUAAAGAAUACCAUACAAUUAAAUAUCACUGUGGUAGAAUCAUAAAUAGUAGAAGCAAAAAAAUCCCUUAAAUUACUCAGAUUAGCAUUUUUUUUUUAAGAGCAACUACUUUUUACUGGUUCAGAACAUUGCGGGUAAGGGACAGAAAACCAGACAUUUAUGGGACACCUUUUAUGUGCACAUCAUUGCACAGAGCAGGAAUGUGCAAGAAUGUGCAGGAUGGAUGCCCAGGGCUCCUCCUCUCUGAGACCUGUGUGUUCACCCUCCAUCCACUAAACUCUGGAAGUGUUUUGUAUAUGCUUCUCAUGGGUCACUUCCUAUUUUCUGUCCUUGGGUCUAGUUUUUGGUCCGUGACUUACCCCUCCUUUGAAUUAUAAACUUUAGUCCUCAGACAUUGCAUUUUACAGCUUCAUAUUCCCCAAAAUAAUUAGCUCAGUGUUUCUCACAUAAUAAGGUGUUCAAUAAACAGUUUUUGAUUAAUAAAUUAUAAAAAAAGAGAUGUUGCUUCUCCUACAAGUUUAUAAUAGCUAAUAAUGAUAAGCAAAUACUUUUUUAUAAGUACUUUCUAUGUGCCUGACAUUAUGCUUGACACUUUAAAUCAUUUAAUCGUGUCCCCAUAGUAAGAGGACAAAACUCACCAUUAUGGAAGUUAAGUGAAUAUUAGACUAACAUUACACAGCCAGAUCCAGGAUUUAAUCACAAGUGUGACUCUAGAUCAUGUGAUCUUAACUUUUAUACCAUACAUUCCUAUAUUUUUUAAUGGUUGUUGAUAUUUUAGCAUGACUAUUUUAUAAUUAUCACUGUAAAAUCCAGGAUGCCAUAAUUCAUUAUGAAAAUUGCUGAAUGCUCUAAAGCCAAAGAUCAAAGACGCACUGAAGUAGGUUGGAAAAAUUCAGUAUUGUCCUUGAGUCUGGUACUAUUGUGGCCUGAAGAACGUUGGCAUCAUUCUGAAUAUUCAAGACAAAUUUAGAUGGAGUAAAAUAGUGGGGUCUUGUUACUUUUUCCUGCGUAUCACGGCACUUAGUAGAGGGACAGAAUUUUGUGGUACAAGAUUACUAAUCAACAAAGUGUCUCUCAGGUCUUCUGAGUAACUGGGGAUGGUAAUAUAUUGUUUAAUAGAGAAAUUUUUUAAGUAUUAUUGUACCUCAACUUUACUAUUAUACAUGUUGACUGACUAUCUAUGAAGGUUCAGAAGUAUUUGUAAGUACUUAGAAUGUAAGAUGAAUAGAAUUCUGUGCCUGACUUCAAGGGGCUCACAGUCUGGCAGGUAAACCAGCUGGGUGCAGACCCAGGCUCCUGCUCCAUGGAGCAGGUAGGAGCCCCACCCCCACCCCAGGUGCAGCUGCUGCUGCUGAAGCCGCAGCAGCAGACUCAGAUAUCCCUGCACUCUUGGGGGUCCAGGAAGGCCCCCCUGACCUGGCAGGCUCGGAAGUGCCUCCUCCUGCUGCCUGGCUUCUCCCUGCUCUCUGAGCCCACUCAGAUCUCAGAACAUCAGGCAGAGCCCUGGGCACCAUGAAUAGCAGCAGGAGGCAGAGAGACUCCUGGGUGGAAGGCAGUGGAUCCCCAUGAGUUCCCACCUUCAGGCCAUGGAGGGCCUGAAGGCUGGGGGCCGGGUUGCCAGUCUCACAGACCGGAGUGGGAACUUGCGGUGCCUUUCCUGGUGCCUUUCCCAUGGCCCAAUCCUUUCACGCUCCCUCCCCUCUGAGGCCCAUAAAAACCCAGGCUCAGCCACAGUUGAGGAGACAAUGGGAUGACCAGCUGCAGAGAGGAGCAACACUUUCUGCUGAUAGCAAGAGACAUUGGGACAACUGGCAGCAGAGAGGAGCAAUCCACUCCAGUGCCUCCUCUCUGCCAGGAGCUGGGAGGUGACAAGACAGCCUACCUGUAGACCCACUCCAGGGCCUCCUUUCUGCUGAGAGCUGGGAAGACAACAGGACAACCUGCCUGCAGAGAGGAGCUUCCAACUCCAGGGUCUCCUCUGUGCUAGGAGCUGAACACUUGAUGCGACACCCUGGCUGCGUAAAGGAGCUACCCACUGUGGGUCCUCUGUGAGAUGUUCUAUUGCUCAAUAAAGCUCCUCUUCAUCUUGUUCACCCUCCA
rnacentral:lncRNA from 1 species